GCACUAACAAACUACAAUGCACACUCUGGUUUCAUUUUGAUGCCAGGACAUUAGUUAUGAGACUUAUGAGCCAGAGUACAAUAGAUCCUACGAUCCAACAGACCGCACAAAAGACUAAGAUACCAGCCAAAAUGGUGGCUAAUGGCGGGCUUGAUGCAUCCUUGCUCUUCUCUGGUCCUCCUGAAGGAUUGGUGCUUGAUUUUGAUAUAGGUAGUAG
rnacentral:misc_RNA from 1 species